rnacentral:sRNA from 1 species
UAGCCACAGUGUCCUUUGCCUUACAGCUGAUUAAACUCUUUAAGACUCCUAUUAUUUAUAAUAAAGGAAGAGAUGAUAAAAUGAUGUUCAUAGUUGAAAAUUCAAUGAUCCAUUUAAAGUGCCAUCACAAUACUUAGUCUGCACACUCUCCACCAAUGUUUCCUAUUAUUAAACUGUACCCCAAGGGCCUUUGAAGAAAGAGAGGGGUGGGGAGAGCAUGGAAGGUUAGAAGAGGAAGACGAAAGCAAAUCAGUCAUUACACUAGGUGUCAGCGUUGUGCUUCAGAUAGCGUGCUCAGUGCCUAUUCUGAAUUUACUUAUUCCUUCAGAACUGAAGGGUACGUAAGCAGAUCUGGGAGAAUCAGAAACCUAAAAGUGCAAAAGGGGUGCCCAGCAAUUUACUGGCUUAGCCACUGAGCACCAGUGACGUUCAAACUAGCUGUCUGUCGGAGACGAGCCACCUGCGGCAGUUGGCCUCUGCUGUCUGGAGAAUCUCAGCAUCUCAGAAGUCAUGCCCAGGCUUGGCUUUGUGUAGGGGGCCAGAAUUUUUCUGACUUUAGGUCCUGAGUCAGCAUCAUUUAUCAGGAAGAACUGUUUGAACACAUCUUGACUACUUACCAAAUAGGUGAUAGUGUUUAUCUUCUCAGAAUGUCAGUUGAAAAAAAGAUACAUAUUUGGGGAAAAAAAAAAGCUUACUGAAAAAAAAUAUCCCAUGCAUUUGGUAAACAUUAAGAAGAAAAAAGUAGGGAGGUGGCUCAGCGGUUAAAACGUGAUCGCUUCUCAAGCAAGACAGUGAGUUUAAGUGUGCAGCACAUAAGUGCCAAGCAGGCAUGGCAUCUUACCUCUAAUUUAACCCUUGGGAGGCAGAGACCAGAGACCCCCUUUUUUUUCACCCCUAGCAAAUUAGCUAUCUAGACCAGCUGUAUUUGUGGCUCUGGGCUUUAUCAAGUUCUUUUGUGGGUUGGCCUAAGAAGUUAAGUUUUUUAAAUCUACUCCCUGAGACUAGCAGUGGUUGCUUUAGAAGCAUGUGCCAAGACUAGCAGAAUGUAGUCUUUUGAGGUUGCAUUUAUGAGAAACUCUUGGGUAAGGACAAGGCCUUUAUAAUCAAGACUAACUCCUCCCACUUAUUUCCUCAUUUAAAUGGUUCUCUUGAAGGAUUUUGUUGAGCUGUCCUUAACCUUUCCUGCUGAGAUAAGUCCUGGCAGCAGGAGGAGCUGGGCACAAGUUCAAGGGCUUCAGUCUCAGCAUCAACUCUCUUCUCUCAUCCAGAGAUCUCAAAACUUCGGUGGAACUGAAAAAUACCAGUUCCCAAAAGGCAGGACCUCCUUAGAUCAUCUAAUUACUUGGCAUAAGACUGGAAUCAAUAAAUAGCUGGAAUAAAUCAAGAGGCAAGGCUUAAAGUUGUUAAGUCACCUAAGAGAAAAUGAUGCUGUUCAGAACUUUCACCCUGUAAGUCUUUUAAAGAGAAAUCAUGAUAGAAAUGGUUUGACAGCAAAAAAAUUAGAUUGGAAUGGGGUCUGGCUCUUUAAACAUAUUAAUAAGGCAUGAAACAGCUUUUCCCACUAAGCCUGGCACCAAGCAAGGAUGAACAAAGAACUGUCAUCUGCUGCCUGAGACUGAUACAAGAAUAUGAUCACCAGCAAGCAGGCUAGCCAGGCGGGCUGGAUAGUUUUAUGUCAACUCGACACAAGUUAAAGUACCUGAGAGGAGAGAGCCUCAGGUAAGAAAAGCCUCCAUAAGGUUAGGCUGUAGGCA